rnacentral:lncRNA from 1 species
CGGUACUUACAAUGAGCAAGAAAGACAGAGUCCUUGCCUUUUGGGGGUUUGUAGUCAAGCACUAGAACGGUGCCUGGCAGAAAGCAUCAGCUACUGUUAUUAUUUUUUCUAUGUCCUGUGUCUGUACUACUUUAAAAAAGUUUCUGUAAUUUUCUCCCCUAGGAAGUUCUCUUUCCUUCUUUCAAGCCGUAUGUAUGGAUCACUUGCUCUGAGUCUAGAUGGCUACACAUAAGCUAGAGACACGAUGGCUGCCUCUGGGUUCCUGGCAUCAAAGCCAACUCUUGGUUUACUCAUGACCUUCUUCUUUUCUUUUCCUCUCCCCAUCCUCUUUUUCUUUUCCAGAGAUAUGGACUUCAUUGGACAAAUUAUCUGCUUCUCUGAGUCCUCCAAGAGUGCCUCUUUGGAUCUCUGGGGGCAGCCCCGUUUCUCCUUGAAUGAUCAGUCAGCAUAAUGGAGUGAAGCCUCAGCAGGCUUUCAUAGGCCCCCGAGUUGAGCACUGGGAUGACAGAACAGGCUUCUGAUCGGCUGCCUUAGGCUGGGGCAUCCCUUCCCCAUAAAGUUACAGGCAGUUACCACACACUUCAAGAGCCCACUUUUCUCUAAACCUGAAUGGGUUGCUUCCGGCUCCUUGGCACUUGUGAAUAACCUGCUUAGAUCAUGGUUUUCAGGAUCUGAAUUGACUUAAUAUGCCCCACAAUACCCAUGUAUUUAUUAUGGUAGAGUUUUACUACUCACUGUCCUACUUUGUCUUACAGUACAGAGAUGGAACACGACCUAUGUAAACUAGUGUGUUGACAAAGAGCUUUGCAAGAAAAGUUGACAGCUCUCCUCUCAGCCUUAAUUGAAGAUUUGCAAUAAAAUCC